rnacentral:rRNA from 1 species
GUCCUGGCAGUAAACGGUGCACGCUUGGUGUGGCGGGAAUCGACCCCUGCCGUGCCGGAGCCAACGCGUUAAGCGUGCCGCCUGGGAAGUACGGUCGCAAGAUUAAAACUCAAAGAAAUUGACGGGGACCCCGCACAAGCGGUGGAGUAUGUGGCUUAAUUCGAUGCAACGCGAAGAACCUUACCCGGGCUUGACAUGCAUUUUGUCGUCUGUGAAAGCAGGCUAGUGUAGCAAUACACGGGAUGCACAGGUGUUGCAUGGCUGUCGU